GACUCCGUAGCUCAGUUGGUAGAGCAAUUGACUCUUAAUCAAUGGGUCGUGGGUUCGAGUCCCACCGGGGUCACCA
rnacentral:tRNA from 1 species